rnacentral:rRNA from 1 species
AUACGGAGGGUGCAAGCGUUGUUCGGAAUUAUUGGGCGUAAAGCGAGCGCAGGCGGUUUCUUAAGUCUGAUGUGAAAGCCCCCGGCUCAACCGGGGAGGGUCAUUGGAAACUGGGAGACUUGAGUGCAGAAGAGGAGAGUGGAAUUCCAUGUGUAGCGGUGAAAUGCGUAGAUAUAUGGAGGAACACCAGUGGCGAAGGCGGCUCUCUGGUCUGUAACUGACGCUGAGGCUCGAAAGCGUGGGGAGCGAACAGGAUUAGAUACCCUGGUAGUCCACGCCGUAAACGAUGAGUGCUAAGUGUUGGAGGGUUUCCGCCCUUCAGUGCUGCAGCAAACGCAUUAAGCACUCCGCCUGGGGAGUACGACCGCAAGGUUGAA